UACGUAGGGUGCGAGCGUUGUCCGGAAUUAUUGGGCGUAAAGGGCUCGUAGGCGGUCUGUCACGUCGAAAGUGAAAACUCAGGGCUUAACCCUGAGCCUGCUUCCGAUACGGGCAGACUAGAGGUAUGCAGGGGAGAACGGAAUUCCCGGUGUAGCGGUGAAAUGCGCAGAUAUCGGGAAGAACACCCGUGGCGAAGGCGGUUCUCUGGGACGGUACUGACGCUGAGACGCGAAAGCGUGGGGAGCGAACAGG
rnacentral:rRNA from 1 species